rnacentral:rRNA from 1 species
AUUGAACGCUGGCGGCAUGCCUUACACAUGCAAGUCGAACGGCAGCACGGGAGCAAUCCUGCUGACGAGUGGCGAACGGGUGAGUAAUGCAUCGGAACGUACCCAGUCGUGGGGGAUAACGUAGCGAAAGUUACGCUAAUACCGCAUACGUCCUGAGGGAGAAAGCGGGGGGACCGUAAGGCCUCGCGCGAUUGGAGCGGCCGAUGUCGGAUUAGCUAGUUGGUAGGGUAAAGGCCUACCAAGGCGACGAUCCGUAGCGGGUCUGAGAGGAUGAUCCGCCACACUGGGACUGAGACACGGCCCAGACUCCUACGGGAGGCAGCAGUGGGGAAUUUUGGACAAUGGGCGAAAGCCUGAUCCAGCCAUGCCGCGUGAGUGAAGAAGGCCU